AGGGAGUGCAGAGCAUUAACCCUGUAAAGCACAGGAGUGUAGCCCAUCUCCCCAGAGCCCAUCCCUGAGCCUCUCAUCCACUGGCUCAUCAUCAUCGCAGGGCUCCGGGCUGCAGUGACACCUCCCCUCCCAGCCCGGCCUGGGACAAUAAACAUUUCAGAGCUGUCACUGCUGCCUCUCCCCUGCUGACAUUCAAUCAUUACGGUAUCUUAAGAACGUUUAAAUAGGUCAGGUUUUUAAUGGGAGAGCUUGGCUUCUGGGAGUGAGACUGACAGCCUUUUGAGAGCAGAUUAACAGCACUGAUAAAUCAAUCUCAGACUGACUCACAGCCAUAAGAAAAAUAAGAAGAUGAAAAGGGAGCCUAGUUAAAUAAAUGGUCUCAGUUCUUCGGCUUUGGAGAUGUACCGGGGGAAGGAAAGCAGGCUUUUGUCGUGCUCCUCGUCACUCUUCUUUCUCCAAGUUUGACCGCAUCUCCCACUCCAGCAAUGCCCUCUGUGGGGAGUUUUCCAUCUCCAAUGAUCCUGAGCAUCCCGCCCUGCCCAUCAGUUGAUGAACAGGGACUUUCCAGAGCAGGAAAAUCUCCCCUUUUGUCAUCACCAAAAUGUACACCAGAAGCCCAGAGAAGGAACUGCAGAUCUGAAGUCCAGGUGAUUUCCAUCGGAUAGCCAGCACUGCCUGGAUGCCUGCCUUUACCCAUUACUGACACACCUUCAUACUUCAAGGAAGUUCCUGUUUCAAAAUGUCUGUGUGGAGACUGAACGAAAGGCACCAGCUGGGGCUCCUGUACAAGAUUUCUGUCCUUCUGGAGGAUCAGAGAGCUAUUUUAAGGGCAGAGCCACUGGGGAAGCAUAAGACAGCCAGCAGUCACCAACCCCUAAAGAGGCUGGCACCUGGUUUGCCUGACCAAAGCCUCUCACAAAGCAGCCCAUUCCACACGGGUUUGGCUUCUAAUAUGGGUUAGGGCAUUUUUUUCUCACAUACAAAGAAAUGCUGGAGGGAACCUGCCAGCACCAGAUGUUCUCUGUGGUUCUCCCUCCUUCCCAGCAGCAGGCAAGGUCUCAGUGGUAUGGGGGACAUUUCAAGCAGAAACAUGCAAGCCAUUCAACCAUUAAGCCGUUUAACCUUUAAAGACUAAAGCUAAGUGACACAGCUAAUCCACCAGUGAAAGUCUGUGUGUUCUUUGUCUCCCCCAUAAGAGUAACACUCCAGUCGUUGCAGAACACUGAUGGUAAGCUGCAUUAUUUCCAAUUUCAUGGUGGAACUAGUUAAAAGUUUUUAGGCUAUACUCUAGAUGUAACAUUAAAUACAGCCACUGCUAAUAACUUAGCUUAAUUAUUAGCUGAUUUAUUCAUAUACAUGCAGGCAGAAGAU